GUCAACCAUUAACCCAUCUGACCCAUUUAAUUUAAUGGGUCAUGGGUCAACCCAACCCAUUAAUAAAAGGGUUGGGUUGACCCAUGACCCAUUAACAGUCAACCCAUUUGGGUUAUGGGU
rnacentral:pre_miRNA from 1 species